rnacentral:misc_RNA from 1 species
UUGCUUUAAUUUAAUCAUAGACUCAGACAUAUGACACGAUUCAUUCAGAGUUUGAGUGGUUGGCCAUCGGCGGACGCGGGCCAGAGGACGCCUUUCAGCGGUCCUCCGGCGGCCGUGAGACGGGUCCGCCGAAGCAACAGAGGUUCAAUAAACAAAGGGUUGGGAGAUCGGGCCUAGAAGACCCUAACUCUUUAAUGAUCCUUCCGCAGGUUCACCUACGGAAA